GAUGAACGCUGGCGGCGUGCCUAAUACAUGCAAGUCGAGCGAAUGGAUUAAGAGCUUGCUCUUAUGAAGUUAGCGGCGGACGGGUGAGUAACACGUGGGUAACCUGCCCAUAAGACUGGGAUAACUCCGGGAAACCGGGGCUAAUACCGGAUAACAUUUUGAACCGCAUGGUUCGAAAUUGAAAGGCGGCUUCGGCUGUCACUUAUGGAUGGACCCGCGUCGCAUUAGCUAGUUGGUGAGGUAACGGCUCACCAAGGGAACGAUGCGUAGCCGACUUGAGAGGGUGAUCGGCCACACUGGGACUGAGACACGGCCCAGACUCCUACGGGAGGCAGCAGUAGGGAAUCUUCCGCAAUGGACGAAAGUCUGACGGAGCAACGCCGCGUGAGUGAUGAAGGCUUUCGGGUCGUAAAACUCUGUUGUUAGGGAAGAACAAGUGCUAGUUGAAUAAGCUGGCACCUUGACGGUACCUAACCAGAAAGCCACGGCUAACUACGUGCCAGCAGCCGCGGUAA
rnacentral:rRNA from 1 species